rnacentral:lncRNA from 1 species
ACCAAAAGAAUAUAAAAUUUAUCAGAAGAAAUAUUAAUUACACAUAUGAAUUAGCCAUUCCAAAAAACGAAAAAAUCAUCUAAGUGUUAAUUUCAUUUAGACAUUAUUUUUUUUUUUUUGGUCUAAACCAUCCGGUAUCCGGUGACCACAUUGGGCCCCGACUACUCCGGAUUCGGAGAGAGGGCGAUUCUCCUCCCAACGUAGGCGACUCCACCAAGACUCGAACUGGGGAGCAAACCCAGUCGAGGCUUGAGGGGUUCAGUUCGCUACCAACUGAACCAACUGAACCAACCAGCAGUAAAUUUAUUGUAUUUGUCCGUUGAGGCAAGUCGCGAGAGCACUUAGGCCUUAUUAUUGAAGCGUAGGUCUAUUUUGUACGGCUCAAAUUGUGAUGGCAGUAAUUAUGUAGAAGUACUUUUUUGAAGAAGUUUGCUUCAGUGUUUGGCAGUAUUAUUUUUUAAAAGGUGAGUUAUUUGUACUAAAAAAUAUUUUGACUACUUAUCUUUUAAUAUAAUUUUAUGUUAUUAAAUUACCCCAAUAUUAAUUCACAAUUGAGGACCAUAUUCAAUGAUUAAUAAAAUAUAUUAUCAAUGACUUAUCUUUUACUAUAACACUCAUUCAGCAUGAUGAUUUGCUUCUUUUCCUUCUUUAAUGUGUAAUGUGUGUGUCCGUUAUGCAGUGAGAUUGAUAAAACUUUAAAUGAUCAAAGCAGUAAAUUUAUUGUAUUUGUCCGUUGAGGCAAGUCGCGAGAGCACUUAGGCCUUAUUAUUGAAGCGUAGGUCUAUUUUGUACGGCUCAAAUUGUGAUGGCAGUAAUUAUGAUAGAAGUACUUUUUUGAAGAACUUUGCUUGGGUGUUUGGCAGUAUUAUUUUUUUGGGAAAUUAUCAGUCAUAUAUCUUUAAAUGACAUCCGUAUCAAACGUAUGUGAACACUUUUUAAGUGUAUCACUCGUAUAUCUUAAGUUGACAAAAUACUUCUGUCGUCUACCAAUCUGUUAACUUCCGUUAGAAAGUUAACAUAAUUGUGACAAAUUGACUAUUUUGCCCUUGAAAUUCAAAAUGAGGUAAAAAGAUAAAUUUACCCCAAAAUUAACGUAAAUUUUCA